UGUCCCUGAUCUGGGUAGAGUGGCACCUGGUUGGUGGUGCUUGUCUCAUAUCAGUCAGGGAUAAAGCAACUCCUUGUUUAUCCCAGCUUGGCUUUUGGUCUGUGCCGGUGCCUGGUUCAUGCCCUGGAUACAUGG
rnacentral:snoRNA from 2 species